rnacentral:rRNA from 1 species
GACAGAGGUGCCGAGCGUUAGGCGGAAUCACUGGGCUUAAAGCGUGUGUAGGCGGGCCCCUAAGUACCUUGUGAAAUCCCCCGGCUCAACCGGGGAAUGGCUGGGUAGACUGGGGGCCUUGAGCCACUCAGGGGCGAGCGGAACAAAUGGUGGAGCGGUGAAAUGCGUAGAUAUCAUUUGGAACGCCGACGGUGAAAACAGCUCGCUGGGGGUGUGCUGACGCUGAGACACGAAAGUCAGGGGAGCGAACGGG